GGCUGGAAGGCGCACGGUGCGCGUUGGCUUCUGUUGCAUUAUGUAUGACGUGAUAAGCAACUCGAAGGUCCCCGUUCGACUCGGGGUCCAGCCG